CCGCCUCAGACUCCAGCCUGCAGGAAAGGUGGACCAGUGGCUCCGGAGCGGGGGAGUCAGCCCCGCACAGACACAGCCAGCACCAGUUGUUUCUGAAGACAGAGACUCAGCGUGCAAGGAAAGACCGCCAGCGAUGCAGAGUAUGCCCGGACCCACAUUUCACGGUCACUGCACAAGCCAGGGUUAGUGGGGUCUGCCCGCUUGAGAUCUGCCUUCUCCGCUUCCCCCAGCCCCGCCUCCGCCCCACCCCAACUCUCCAGCCCAAAACCUGGGUGUGGCUGAAACAAUCUGUGAGUUUCAUUCCAAUGCAUCAUUGAAGGAGUUUUUUCUCCCCUGUGUCCUGUUUCCAAAGUCCUUCUCUGAAGCCACGCUGGGUCUGGAUUUCUUGUAUGAGCUCUGACCUCUCGACUCUCUGCACAGUGUAGACUCUUCACUCUCAGGGGAAGCGACUUUUUGGGUCUGUGGGGCUUAGCAGACUCCUAUAAUCUGUGACCGCGGAGCUGGAACAUUUUCUUUGGUGACUUCUUUUCCUUCUAUGUUCCCUUUCUGGAUGUCUCCUUAUUUAGAGCCCUCCUGAACCAGUUCUCUAGUUUUCUUGUUUUAAACAAGCAUAUAUAAUUUUUCUGAGUUCUUUUAAACUUUUUUUUUUUUUUUUUUACAAAUUUGCUACUUUAUUUAUUUGAAAGACAGAGCAACAGAGAUCUUCCAUCUGCUGCUUCACUUCUCUAAUGUCCACGGUGGUCAGGGCUGGGCCAGGCUGAACCCUGGAGCCCAGAACUCAACCUGGAUCUCCCACAUGGGUGACUGGAACCCAAGUACCUGAGCCGUCACCCCUCCCUCCCAGGGUGCACAGCUGGAUCUGAAGUGGAGCAGCUGGGACUCGAACCUGAGCCCAUAUGGGAUGCCAGCGGUGCACGCUGGGGCUUUAAACCUGCUACGCCACAGCGCUGACUCCUCUUCAUAUUAUUUUCUAAGCCUUUUACUAAGCUUUUUGUUUAUUUGAUUUUUGAUCAUGUC